rfam:Lepisosteus oculatus linkage group LG4, whole genome shotgun sequence.
GCCAGCAGCCAUAUCACCCUGCAGCUCACAACCGGCAGCCCCAUGAAGUUCAGCAGGUGUGAGCCUGGUCAGUACCUGGAUGGGAGACCUCCUGGGAAAAACUAAGGUUGCUGCUGGAA